GGCGAACGGGUGAGUACACGUGGGUCAACUGCCCUCAGCUCUGGGAUAACUCCAAGAAAUUGGUGCUAAUACCGGAUGUGACCGCUGACCGCAUGGUCUGGUGGUGGAAAGAUUCAUCGGCUGAGGAUGGGCCCGCGGCCUAUCAGCUUGUUGGUGGGGUGAUGGCCUACCAAGGCGACGACGGGUAGCCGGCCUGAGAGGGUGACCGGCCACACUGGGACUGAGCACACGGCCCAAACCUCAAUACGGGAGCGGGAAUAUGCGCAAUGGGCGANAGCCUGACGCAGCCGACGCCGCGUGAGGGAUGACCGGCUUCGGGUUGUAAACCUCUUUCAGUAGGGACGAAGCGCAAGUGACGGUACCUACAGAAGAAGCACCGGCCAACUACGUGCCAGCCGCCGCGG
rnacentral:rRNA from 1 species